rnacentral:rRNA from 1 species
AGAUUGAACGCUGGCGGCAGGCCUAACACAUGCAAGUCGAGCGGUAGAGAGGUGCUUGCAUCUCUUGAGAGCGGCGGACGGGUGAGUAAUGCCUAGGAAUCUGCCUAGUGGUGGGGGAUAACGUUCGGAAACGGACGCUAAUACCGCAUACGUCCUACGGGAGAAAGCGGGGGACCUUCGGGCCUCGCGCCAUUAGAUGAGCCUAGGUCGGAUUAGCUAGUUGGUGAGGUAAUGGCUCACCAAGGCGACGAUCCGUAACUGGUCUGAGAGGAUGAUCAGUCACACUGGAACUGAGACACGGUCCAGACUCCUACGGGAGGCAGCAGUGGGGAAUAUUGGACAAUGGGCGAAAGCCUGAUCCAGCCAUGCCGCGUGUGUGAAGAAGGUCUUCGGAUUGUAAAGCACUUUAAGUUGGAGAAGGUUGUAACUUAAUACGUUGCAACUUUGACGUUACGACAGAAUAAGCACCGGCUAACUUCGUGCCAGCAGCCGACG